CUCCAGCGUCCGACAGUCCAACUAUCUGCUCCGGGACAGCUGUAGCAUCAACAGCAUCCCAUUCCCGCAUGUACAGGUGAACUGUCAGGAAAAAGAGCAACGGACUACCUGAGUGAUGCCUGCCGCAUGACCUGCUGGCAAGGGAUGGUGGGGGAGCUCGCACCCCGCCGAGGGAGGGGCAUGGCGGGAGCGCUUCUGCAAUUGGUGCCUCAGCUUGGCCACCUGAGGGCAGAGUGGAGAGAAAAAAUGAUUCAGGUGUUCUGCACUGCCCCACGACGCUGAGCGCUUGUGUCCUCCAACACUUCUCCUUCCCUGGGUCUCCUCUGCCCAUGAACUUGGAGUCUUUAAAACAAAUAUGACAAUGUGGUGAA